GAUGAAGAACGUAGCGAAAUGCGAUACGUAAUGUGAAUUGCAGAAUUCAGUGAAUCAUCGAGUCUUUGAACGCACAUUGCGCCCCCUGGUAUUCCGGGGGGCAUGCCUGUCCGAGCGUCAUUGCUGCCCUCAAGCACGGCUUGUGUGUUGGGCCUCCGUCCGCCUCCCGGGGGACGGGCCCGAAAGGCAGCGGCGGCACCGCGUCCGGUCCUCGAGCGUAUGGGGCUUCGUCACCCGCUCUUGUAGGCCCGGUCGGCGCUUGCCGACACAUCAAUCUUUUUUCCAGGUUGACCUCGGAUCAGGUAGGGAUACCCGCUGAACUUAAGCAUAUCAAUAAGCGGAGGA
rnacentral:misc_RNA from 1 species